AGUUCACGCAAGCCCUGUGGGCAAAAGGUGGAGUGAAAGAAACUUAGUCUGAACCUGAAUUCCUCCAAAAAGCUUCUACAAAACAACUUUGCUCCCAGGCGACACUAGAAGGGGACAGCACUGUCAUACAACAGAGCUCUGUUUCUUUGCAUCAAAAAUAUACUGAAGCCACAUAAUAUAACUGUAGAGGAUUGCAAUAAAGAGUAUGGCUAUAUCUAAAAUGGAGAAAGAUGGGAAAAUGAAAACAUAGCUGUCACUGUCCCACUUGUUCAAAGGGGAACCAAGAGAGCCUUAAAACCUCUGUGGGUGACAUGGGAUAGAAAGAAUAAAAUAUUCAUACUCA